UAUUUUUGUGAGUGCGAACAGGCUUACAGUCACAUAUCCCUGGACCUGUCACUAACAUGAUGGAGACAUCACCUUGACUGUUUCUGACCCAGGCAUUGCAGAACCUGGUGUGGCUGCGUAGAACCUAGAGCCCCUUCACUUGGGAAUAAGCUGGAAGGUGACAACUCAACUGAAGUCACAUCACUCAGCUGCUGCUGUUCAAUGUGAUAGAUGACAAGUCAUGUCAUCAGGACCUCAGUCUCCCCAUUUUCCACUCUAGAGGACCAGAGGUGGCCUGCUGUCUAAGACCCAUCCAUGAAAGAACCAGAACAAAUGAAGAAGUGGAGUGAGAAAUGUUCCUAGGAAGAAAAGCCUGAAUGUACAGCUACUGAAGAGGAAUCCAAAAGUUAAUCACAGAGUCCUAACAUAAAAAUAAAGGGAACCAGAUAAGGGAA